AUAGGGUCAAGUGAAUAAGUGCAUCAGGCGGAUGCCUUGGCGAUGAUAGGCGACGAAGGACGUGUAAGCCUGCGAAAAGCGCGGGGGAGCUGGCAAUAAAGCUAUGAUUCCGCGAUGUCCGAAUGGGGAAACCCACUGCAUUCUGUGCAGUAUCCUAAGUUGAAUACAUAGGCUUAGAGAAGCGAACCCGGAGAACUGAACCAUCUAAGUACCCGGAGGAAAAGAAAUCAACCGAGAUUCCGCAAGUAGUGGCGAGCGAACGCGGAGGAGCCUGUACGUAAUAACUGUCGAGAUAGAAGAACAAGCUGGGAAGCUUGACCAUAGCGGGUGACAGUCCCGUAUUCGAAAUCUCAACAGCGGUACUAAGCGUACGAAAAGUAGGGCGGGACACGUGAAAUCCUGUCUGAAUAUGGGGGGACCAUCCUCCAAGGCUAAAUACUCAUCAUCGACCGAUAGUGAACCAGUACCGUGAGGGAAAGGCGAAAAGAACCCCGGGAGGGGAGUGAAACAGAACCUGAAACCUGAUGCAUACAAACAGUGGGAGCGCCCUAGUGGUGUGACUGCGUACCUUUUGUAUAAUGGGUCAACGACUUACAUUCAGUAGCGAGCUUAACCGGAUAGGGGAGGCGUAGGGAAACCGAGUCUUAAUAGGGCGAUGAGUUGCUGGGUGUAGACCCGAAACCGAGUGAUCUAUCCAUGGCCAGGUUGAAGGUGCCGUAACAGGUACUGGAGGACCGAACCCACGCAUGUUGCAAAAUGCGGGGAUGAGCUGUGGGUAGGGGUGAAAGGCUAAACAAACUCGGAGAUAGCUGGUUCUCCCCGAAAACUAUUUAGGUAGUGCCUCGAGCAAGACACUGAUGGGGGUAAAGCACUGUUAUGGCUAGGGGGUUAUUGCAACUUACCAACCCAUGGCAAACUCAGAAUACCAUCAAGUGGUUCCUCGGGAGACAGACAGCGGGUGCUAACGUCCGUUGUCAAGAGGGAAACAACCCAGACCGCCGGCUAAGGUCCCAAAUGAUAGAUUAAGUGGUAAACGAAGUGGGAAGGCACAGACAGCCAGGAUGUUGGCUUAGAAGCAGCCAUCAUUUAAAGAAAGCGUAAUAGCUCACUGGUCGAGUCGUCCUGCGCGGAAGAUGUAACGGGGCUCAAAUCUAUAACCGAAGCUGCGGAUGCCGGUUUACCGGCAUGGUAGGGGAGCGUUCUGUAGGCUGAUGAAGGUGCAUUGUAAAGUGUGCUGGAGGUAUCAGAAGUGCGAAUGUUGACAUGAGUAGCGAUAAAGCGGGUGAAAAGCCCGCUCGCCGAAAGCCCAAGGUUUCCUACGCAACGUUCAUCGGCGUAGGGUAAGUCGGCCUCUAAGGCGAGGCAGAAAUGCGUAGUCGAUGGGAAACAGGUUAAUAUUCCUGUACUUGAUUCAAAUGCGAUGUGGGGACGGAGAAGGUUAGGUUGGCAAGCUGUUGGAAUAGCUUGUUUAAGCCGGUAGGUGGAAGACUUAGGCAAAUCCGGGUUUUCUUAACACCGAGAAGUGAUGACGAGUGUCUACGGACACGAAGCAACCGAUACCACGCUUCCAGGAAAAGCCACUAAGCUUCAGUUUGAAUCGAACCGUACCGCAAACCGACACAGGUGGGCAGGAUGAGAAUUCUAAGGCGCUUGAGAGAACUCGGGAGAAGGAACUCGGCAAAUUGAUACCGUAACUUCGGGAGAAGGUAUGCCCUCUAAGGUUAAGGACUUGCUCCGUAAGCCCCGGAGGGUCGCAGAGAAUAGGUGGCUGCGACUGUUUAUUAAAAACACAGCACUCUGCCAACACGAAAGUGGACGUAUAGGGUGUGACGCCUGCCCGGUGCCGGAAGGUUAAUUGAAGAUGUGCAAGCAUCGGAUCGAAGCCCCGGUAAACGGCGGCCGUAACUAUAACGGUCCUAAGGUAGCGAAAUUCCUUGUCGGGUAAGUUCCGACCCGCACGAAUGGCGUAACGAUGGCCACACUGUCUCCUCCCGAGACUCAGCGAAGUUGAAGUGGUUGUGAAGAUGCAAUCUACCCGCUGCUAGACGGAAAGACCCCGUGAACCUUUACUGUAGCUUUGCAUUGGACUUUGAAGUCACUUGUGUAGGAUAGGUGGGAGGCUUGGAAGCAGAGACGCCAGUCUCUGUGGAGUCGUCCUUGAAAUACCACCCUGGUGUCUUUGAGGUUCUAACCCAGACCCGUCAUCCGGGUCGGGGACCGUGCAUGGUAGGCAGUUUGACUGGGGCGGUCUCCUCCCAAAGCGUAACGGAGGAGUUCGAAGGUUACCUAGGUCCGGUCGGAAAUCGGACUGAUAGUGCAAUGGCAAAAGGUAGCUUAACUGCGAGACCGACAAGUCGGGCAGGUGCGAAAGCAGGACAUAGUGAUCCGGUGGUUCUGUAUGGAAGGGCCAUCGCUCAACGGAUAAAAGGUACUCCGGGGAUAACAGGCUGAUUCCGCCCAAGAGUUCAUAUCGACGGCGGAGUUUGGCACCUCGAUGUCGGCUCAUCACAUCCUGGGGCUGUAGUCGGUCCCAAGGGUAUGGCUGUUCGCCAUUUAAAGUGGUACGUGAGCUGGGUUUAAAACGUCGUGAGACAGUUUGGUCUCUAUCUGCAGUGGGCGUUGGAAGUUUGACGGGGGCUGCUCCUAGUACGAGAGGACCGGAGUGGACGAACCUCUGGUGUACCGGUUGUAACGCCAGUUGCAUAGCCGGGUAGCUAAGUUCGGAAGAGAUAAGCGCUGAAAGCAUCUAAGCGCGAAACUCGCCUGAAGAUGAGACUUCCCUUGCGGUUUAACCGCACUAAAGGGUCGUUCGAGACCAGGACGUUGAUAGGUGGGGUGUGGAAGCGCGGUAACGCGUGAAGCUAACCCAUACUAAUUGCCCGUGAGGCUUGACUCUAU
rnacentral:rRNA from 1 species